rnacentral:piRNA from 1 species
UCGUGGUGUUGAUGAAACUUUUGAUGU